CUUUCAGCAGGGAAGAAGCGAAAGUGACGGUACCUGCAGAAGAAGCACCGGCUAACUAUGUGCCAGCAGCCGCGGUAAUACAUAGGGUGCAAGCGUUGUCCGGAAUUAUUGGGCGUAAAGAGCUCGUAGGUGGUUCGUCACGUCGGAUGUGAAAAUCUGGGGCUUAACCCCAGACCUGCAUUCGAUACGGGCGAGCUAGAGUGUGGUAGGGGAGACUGGAAUUCCUGGUGUAGCGGUGGAAUGCGCAGAUAUCAGGAGGAACACCAAUGGCGAAGGCAGGUCUCUGGGCCAUUACUGACACUGAGGAGCGAAAGCGUGGGGAGCGAACAGGAUUAGAUACCCUGGUAGUCCACGCCGUAAACGGUGGGCACUAGUUGUGGGAACCUUCCACGGUUUCUGCGACGCAGCUAACGCAUUAAGUGCCCCGCCUGGGGAGUACGAUCGCAAGAUUAAAACUCAAAGGAAUUGACGGGGCCCCGCACAAGCAGCGGAGCAUGCGGCUUAAUUCGACGCAACGCGAAGAACCUUACCAAGGCUUGACAUAUACAGGAAUAUGGCAGAGAUGUCAUAGCCGCAAGGUCUGUAUACAGGUGGUGCAUGGUUGUCGUCAGCUCGUGUCGUGAGAUGUUGGGUUAAGUCCCGCAACGAGCGCAACCCUCGUUCUGUGUUGCCAGCAUUUAGUUGGGGACUCACAGGAGACUGCCGGGGUUAACUCGGAGGAAGGUGGGGAUGACGUCAAAUCAUCAUGCCCCUUAUGUCUUGGGCUGCACGCAUGCUACAAUGGCUGGUACAGAGGGCUGCAAUACCGUAAGGUGGAGCGAAUCCCAAAAAGCCGGUCUCAGUUCGGAUUGAGGUCUGCAACUCGACCUCAUGAAGUCGGAGUUGCUAGUAAUCGUAGAUCAGCAACGCUACGGUGAAUACGUUCCCGGGGCUUGUACACACCGCCCGUCACGUCACGAAAGUCGGUAACACCC
rnacentral:rRNA from 1 species